UGGGGAAUAUUGGACAAUGGGCGCAAGCCUGAUCCAGCAAUGCCGCGUGUGUGAAGAAGGCCUUCGGGUUGUAAAGCACUUUUAUCAGGAGCGAAACGCUGUCGGCUAAUACCCGGCGGAACUGACGGUACCUGAGGAAUAAGCACCGGCUAACUUCGUGCCAGCAGCCGCGGUAAUACGAAGGGUGCAAGCGUUAAUCGGAAUUACUGGGCGUAAAGCGUGCGUAGGCGGUUUCUUAAGUCUGCUGUGAAAUCCCCGGGCUCAACCUGGGAAUGGCAGUGGAUACUGGGAGGCUAGAGUGUGUCAGAGGGUGGUGGAAUUCCCGGUGUAGCGGUGAAAUGCGUAGAGAUCGGGAGGAACAUCAGUGGCGAAGGCGGCCACCUGGGACAACACUGACGCUGAGGCACGAAAGCGUGGGGGAGCAAACAGGAUUAGAUACCCUGGUAGUCCACGCCCUAAACGAUGCGAACUGGAUGUUGGUCUCAACUCGGAGAUCAGUGUCGAAGCUAACGCGUUAAGUUCGCCGCCUGGGGAGUACGGUCGCAAGACUGAAACUCAAAUGAAUUGACGGGGUCAUAGCUGUUUCCUG
rnacentral:rRNA from 1 species